GUUUUAAUAAUUUAAAUAAAUAAAAUUUUGGUCUUGUAAACCAAACUUAAGGAUACACCUUUUAAAACU
rnacentral:tRNA from 1 species